rnacentral:lncRNA from 1 species
AUGUCAGGUGCCCGUCCCUCCUCAAGAGCUCUCAGUUCACACUUUCUCCCUGUCCCCUGGGCUGUUCUGCUUGCACAGAGCCCGGCACUCCCAGGGAAAGCCCCAGGAUGCUGCGUGGCAACUGCCCCCACAGGAGCACCCUUAUUCCUCUCAUGGAAACUUCCUCUCCUCAUGGCCUGGUGGCAGGAGGAUGGGCUUCCCCACAGCCUGUCCAUGGCUGCUUCCCCAUGGCUGCAUCCCCACAGCCUCUCCAGGGCUGCCUCAUCCUCCCUCCCCUGCCACUGGCCCCGUGUCCCCUGUCCUGCCAGCCCUGUCCCGACCCACCUGCGUGCCAGCUCCUGCCUUGAGCAGCCAGUCCACUUUGUGCAGGGUCCAUCCCUUGCUGUCGGGGUCCAGGAAGAGGCACUGCAGCAGCACGGAGUCGCCAGCCCUAGCUCGGAGCUGAGGCUCCGUGAACGCCUCGGCAGCCCCCGUGCAUGGCCCUGCCGGGGACAAGGACAGCAGCAUGAGCCCAGAGAGGAGGGCCAGCUGCAGCCUGCCCGUCCCCAUCGCUGUCUCCUCCGCAGGGAAGCCUGGGGCUCACGGCCCUGAGCAGCCCAGAGGCCCAGCCCGUGCCUGAGCCCUGCUCCCGGGAUGUGGGGCAGCGCAUCCUCCCGCCGCCACACCAGGGCUGCUGCCGGUGAUGCAGCCGAAGGGGAGCUGGGAGCACAGCCCCUGCCCUCCUCGCCUCGGAGCCACAGCCUGCAGCUCCUGCAGGGCUGUGCCUGUGACUCACUGCCUGGGAGAACCUGUGCUGCUCUCAUCUCUACCAGGCCAGGGGCGAUUCCAGCGCUUCACACGAAUUUCAGUUCCUCCCUCACUGCCCAUUUGGCUUCCUUCCCCUUUGCUCACAGGCUCCAGACCUGGGCUUGUGCUUGUCUGGCCACGUAACCACAGCUUGGGGUUUCUAGAGCAGCUGGACAGUGGGAAAAAAGCAGAGCAGGGGAACAUCAAAGAGCACAGAGCUGACAGCCCGCACGAGGCAGCUGCGGCUGCAGAGCAGCGGCAGGAAGGGGAUUAAAGGUCUCCUCUGAACUAAAAGGUUCUGUGAAACGAGUGGGGCAGAAAAUGUCACUGGAGCUCGCCAACCCCACCUGCCCCAGCCUGCAGUGGCCCUGCAAGGGGAGGCUGAGGCUCUGCUGCUGUUUGCUGAGAGCUGAUUCAGCUCAGGGGAGCUGCUCAGACAGGUAGGCUCGUCCUCGUGGCUGAGCCACUGCACCCAGCCUGUCCACAACCACCGAGGGCUGGGCCCUGGCCAAGCCCCAAGUGUUUGUCUGAAAGCCUGUAAAUAAUGAAUGCAAAGUGCUGCAGCUCCCAAACAAGUUCUGUUGGUCUUGACCAGCUGAGGAGCUGAAAAUGACAAAUAUUUGCCAGCGGAGAAGACCAAGGGAGCUGCCUGCCUCAAGCAGAGCCAAAAUCAAUACCUUGGAAACCUCCCCCUGUAUUUAGAGUUGGUGAAGCAGUUCUGCUUCUUUCAAAGCCUUGGAGCCUUGGUAGAGGGCAGAUCCGGGGAUGGCAGUGCAGUUUGCAGGCUGUUUACAGGGGAGGUCGGCAGGACGGGGAGAUGCAAGGCCAGAGAGGGACUGGCACCCAGGAGAGGAGCAGCUCCAUGGGGCUCUCACCGCAGGAAGAGAGACACUAAUGGGUCUGAGAGCAAAGGCAGAGGGGAAAGCAGAGGGGAAUAAAACUUAGAGCUUACCCA